UGGGGGAUAUUGCACAAUGGGCGCAAGCCUGAUGCAGCGACGCCGCGUGGGGGAUGAAGGCCUUCGGGUUGUAAACUUCUUUUGCUCUGAACAAGGCGCACUUUGGGGUGUGUUGAGUGUAGGGGUUGAUUAGCGCCGGCUAACUACGUGCCAGCAGCCGCGGUAAUACGUAGGGCGCGAGCGUUGUCCGGAAUUAUUGGGCGUAAAGGGCUUGUAGGUGGCUGGUUGCGUCUGUCGUGAAAGCUCAUGGCUUAACUGUGGGUUUGCGGUGGGUACGGGCUGGCUUGAGUGCAGUAGGUGAGGCUGGAAUUCCUGGUGUAGCGGUGGAAUGCGCAGAUAUCAGGAGGAAUACCGGUGGCGAAGGCGGGUCUCUGGGCUGUUACUGACACUGAGGAGCGAAAGCAUGGGGAGCGAACAGG
rnacentral:rRNA from 1 species